rnacentral:tRNA from 2 species
AAAUAAGAAGCGAUAAAUUGCAAUCAGUUUCGACCUGAUCCUAGAUGAACACAUCCUUAUUUA